rnacentral:rRNA from 1 species
AUUGAACGCUGGCGGCAGGCCUAACACAUGCAAGUCGAGCGAGCGGCGGACGGGUGAGUAAUGUAUCGGGAUCUGCCCGAUAGAGGGGGAUAACUACCGGACACGGUGGCUAAUACCGCCUACUAUCGGAUGAACCCAUAUGGGAUUAGCUAGUUGGUGGGGUAAAGGCUGACCAAGGCGACGAUCUGUAGCUGGUUUGAGAGGAUGAUCAGCCACACUGGGACUGAGACACGGCCCAGACUCCUACGGGAGGCAGCAGUGGGGAAUAUUGGACAAUGGGCGAAAGCCUGAUCCAGCCAUGCCGCGUGUAUGAAGAAGGCCUUAGGGUUGUAAAGUACUUUCAGCUGGGAGGCGUUACCCGCAGAAUAAGCACCGGCUAACUCCGUGCCAGCCGCCGCGGUAAUAC